GCUGUGGUUCAGAGCCAGAGUAUUUGCUUUGCAUGCAGAAGGUUCCUGGUUCAAUUCUUGGCAUCUCCG
rnacentral:tRNA from 1 species